rnacentral:rRNA from 1 species
UACGUAGGGGGCAAGCGUUAUCCGGAUUCACUGGGUGUAAAGGGGGCGCAGACGGCGAUGCAAGCCAGGAGUGAAAGCCCGGGGCCCAACCCCGGGACUGCUCUUGGAACUGCGUGGCUGGAGUGCAGGAGGGGCAGGCGGAAUUCCUGGUGUAGCGGUGAAAUGCGUAGAUAUCAGGAGGAACACCGGUGGCGAAGGCGGCCUGCUGGACUGCAACUGACGUUGAGGCCCGAAAGCGUGGGGAGCAAACAGG